rnacentral:tRNA from 2 species
GGCUCAUUGGUCUAGUGGUAUGAUUGUCGCUUCGGGUUAUCCCUGGCUCUAGAGAGCUAACCAAUGUGACAGGCCUCGGGUUCGAAUCCCGAAUGAGCCC